GAAGAUGGAAUGUAUGAGAAUUUAUUAUUAAUCACGGUCAUUGUUUCUACACAUCUAGCAUUGAUCCCUCAUGGGUGGGACACUCAACAAAUGGUUCAAGAGCAUCCGGUGGUGCAGAUGUGUCUCAUUGGGUGAUAAAUAGACACAACUCAUUAAAAUACAUUGCAGAAAUGUUAUUUUGAUGAGUUGUGUCUAUGUAUCACCUGAUGAGACAUCUGCACCACUGGAUACUCCUGAAACAGUUGUUUUGUAUCCCACCCAUGAGGGAUUGUUGCUGGAUAUGUCGAAACAAUUGUCGUGAUUAAUAAUAAAUUCUUGUAUGUUCCAUCUUCUAUCUUUCGUUUACCAUAUACAUAACUAUCACUGAGAAAGUGACCGUGCUUUAUCAAUAAAUUACAAUGUGUAAACCAUUACUUUUAUUAUCCAAUAUAUGUAUGUAUGUGUAUAUAUAUAUAUAUAUAUAUAUAUAUAUAUAUAUAUAUAAAAACACACAGACAUGUACACAUAAUUACAUAAAUA